GAUUAAGGGGGCUGUUCCUCUGUAUGUGAGGUAUUCCCUCUUAUUUGUUUGUCUUGCUUUUGGGUGUCCUGUACCACGGAUAUCAUAUAAAUUCAAUCAUGUAUCGCUCCAGAGUAUUUUUGGUUCAUUUAUCGUCUAAACUGGUUCUUUUCUGAAAUCAUGCAGGGGUGAAUACUCGUAUUUUUAAGUUCUGAAAUGUUGGACGAUCCAUGCACUCUCAUGAUGAUAAUUUUGCUACAAAAUCUCAGUUCUACGUUGAGCUGAAAUUUAUUGGGGUUUUGCAGGGACUUUUGAUCCACAGUGAGGUGUCAAUCAAUGGUGUCACUGUGUGGGGGCUCAUUGGAAAACAACUCUCACAUUGAAUCUCUGCAAUGAUCCUUAAAUUAAAGGGUGGUUUGAAAACAGCUUCUGCAUCAAACCUCUAAAGUGAUCCUCAAAUUAAAGUUUACUCUCAUGACGGCAAUGUUUCUGGAAAGUCUGAGUUUUAUGUUUGGUUGGACAAAUGUAUUGGGGAUUUGAAGGGCCUUUUGUUCAACAGCAAGGUGUUGGUAGUUGGUGUGCAUUGUAUGGGAGGUGAUGGGAAGACUACGGAGAACCCCACAAGGUUAGGAAGAGAGCAAAAACCAAGAUUUCUAGAGUAAAAUAAAUAAUGAGUAAUAACAGAAAAGGGUUAUUUAGAUUGCUGCAGACCAAUAUUGAGUACUUAGCUAUGUUACCAAAAAUGUGGCGGGAAGAGCCCGUUUCAUGUUUUAACUGCCUUUAUGUUUCCUCUGCAUUUUUUUCAGAAAAUAAACAGGUAGGUAAAUUUUUAGUUCAAUGUUUUUGGGUGAGAUGGUUUUUUUUGUCAUUUUCUAAUUAAUUUGGGAAAGUUUUAGGGCAUGAUGCUUUUGCCAUCUUAUCAGAACAUGCAAACAGAAACCUGCUAAAUUUAACUAGCAAUUCAAGGUAAUUGCCUUUCCUUUUAUAUAUUGAGUCUAUUGAACAUGUUUUUCAACACUGAACUGACAUGCUUGCUCUGAACAGGGGAAGUACAACAAUCCCAAAUGGAAAUGCUUUGGAGUUACACUUCUCUCAGCUUGAUGCAAUGCAAGAUUUGGUCUAAUAUUUGGCACACAAGGACAAUGCAGUCUAUAGCAAGAGUUUGGUCAUAACAUGGAGGGAGUGAAUUUUGUUACGUGAAGGGGAGUCACUUAAUAAUAGCGCAUUUGGUACCCAAAUUCUCUCCAUUAUCACCGAUGAGUUAUCCAAAAUCUCUUAGUUAUGCAUUUUGGCCCAAAACCUUUUUUUUUAUUUUUAUUGUUCACUUUUAAUUUCAAGUUGUAGAACAAAAUUGAAUUUCAAACAUGAUUUUCUGCAUAUUAUAAGGUUUACAGCACUGCUCUAGGAAAACUCAACAGCCUAUUAUAAGGCUUGGAUAUCCUAUUCCCCUGUUCCGUGGGUACACUCAACAGCCUAUGUAAACUGCUCGAAAGAUCUAGACUUUUUGGAUGCUCUAAAUGUCCUACUCUAAUAAGUAACAAUAUGCGAAUCUACUGUUUUCAAUUCUCAACUUUUGAUUGUGUAAC